CCUACGGGAGGCUGCAGUGGGGAAUAUUGCACAAUGGGGGAAACCCUGAUGCAGCGACGCCGCGUGAGUGAAGAAGUAAUUCGUUAUGUAAAGCUCUAUCAGCAGGGAAGAAAAUGACGGUACCUGAGUAAGAAGCCCCGGCUAACUACGUGCCAGCAGCCGCGGUAAUACGUAGGGGGCAAGCGUUAUCCGGAUUGACGGGGUGGAAAGGGAGCGUAGACGGCAGUGCAAGUCUGGAGUGAAAGUCGGGGGCUCAACCCCCGGACUGCUCUGGAAACUGUACGGCUGGAGUGCAGGAGAGGUAAGUGGAAUUCCUAGUGUAGCGGUGAAAUGCGUAGAUAUUAGGAGGAACACCAGUGGCGAAGGCGGCUUACUGGACUGUAACUGACGUUGAGGCUCGAAAGCGUGGGGAGCAAACAGGAUUAGAUACCCGGGUAGUC
rnacentral:rRNA from 1 species